GUGCUCACUUUGGCAGCACAUAUACUAAAACUGGAAUGCUAUUAGUGUGGCCCCUGUGCAAGGAUGACACACAGACCAUGUAGGUUCCAUAUUUUU
rnacentral:snRNA from 1 species